rnacentral:rRNA from 1 species
UCUGGUUGAUCCUGCCAGUAGUCAUAUGCUUGUCUCAAAGAUUAAGCCAUGCAUGUCUAAGUAUAAAUAGUAUACAGUGAAACUGCGAAUGGCUCAUUAAAACAGUUAUAGUUUAUUUGAUAAUUGACAAUUACAUGGAUAACCGUGGUAAUUCUAGAGCUAAUACAUGCUUAAACGCCCGACUUUAUGGAAGGGUGGUAUUUAUUAGACUGAAGCCAAUAUUCCUUGUGUCUAUUGCGGUGAUUCAUAAUAACUGAUCGAAUCUCUUUUUGAGAUAAAUCAUUCAAGUUUCUGCCCUAUCAGCUUUCGAUGGUAGUGUAUUGGACUACCAUGGCAGUAACGGGUAACGAGGAAUUAGGGUUCGAUUUCGGAGAGGGAGCAUGAGAAACGGCUACCACAUCUAAGGAAGGCAGCAGGCGCGUAAAUUACCCAAUCCUGACUCAGGGAGGUAGUGACAAGAAAUAGCAAACCGGGAACCUCAUGGUUUCACGGUAUUGCAAUGAGAACAAUUUAAAACCCUUAGCGAGAAUCAAGUGGAGGACAAGUCUGGUGCCAGCACCCGCGGUAAUUCCAGCUCCACUAGCGUAUAUUAAAGUUGUUGCAGUUAAAAAGCUCGUAGUUGAACCUCUGUCUGGGGCUAGUUUUGGCUUUGGUCAGGCUAGUUCUAGGCAUCCGCCUACAAGACUUAGAGGGCAUUCAGUUGUUCACUAGGAGGAGUAGGCAUUUUACUUUGAAAAAAUUAGAGUGUUUAAGGCAGGCAAUCGCCCGCAUAUAUUAGCAUGGAAUAAUAGAAUAGGACACUUUUCCAUUUCGUUGGUUAUUGGAAUCGUGUAAUGAUUAAUAGGGACAGUUGUGGGCAUUUGUAUUUAACUGUCAGAGGUGAAAUUCUUGGAUUUAUUAAAGACAAACUAACGCGAAAGCAUUUGCCAAGGAUGUUUUCAUUAAUCAAGAACGAAAGUUAGGGGAUCAAAGACGAUCAGAUACCGUCCUAGUCUUAACUAUAAACUAUUCCGACUCAAUGUUUGACUGGCUUAUAUAACCAGUUGAGCGUUGUAUGAGAAAUCAAAGUCUUUAGGUUCUGGGGGGAGUAUGGUUGCAAAGCUGAAACUUAAAGGAAUUGACGGAAGAGCACAACCAGGAGUGGAUUCUGCGGCUUAAUUUGACUCAACACGGGGAAACUUACCAGGUUAAAACAAUAGUGGGGUUGACAGUUUGAGAGCGCUUUCUUGAUUGGUUGGGUGGUGGUGCAUGGCCGUUCUUAGUUGGUGGAGUGAUUUGUCUGCUUAAUUGCGUUAACGAACGAGACCUUAACCUGCUUACUAGACUGGCGAUCAUCAAUCGUUAGCUCUUCUUAGAGGGACUUUG